CAAUAGCGUAUAUUAAAGUUGUUGCAGUUAAAAAGCUCGUAGUUGGAUUUCUGGCAGGAGCGACCGGUCACACACUCUGUGUGUGAACUUGCGUUGUCUCUGGCCAUCCUUGGGAAGAUCCUGUUUGGCAUUAAGUUGUCGGGCAGGGGAUACCCAUCGUUUACUGUGAAAAAAUUAGAGUGUUUAAAGCAGGCUUAUGCCGUUGAAUAUAUUAGCAUGGAAUAAUAAGAUAGGACUUCGGAACUAUUUUGUUGGUUUGCGUUACGAAGUAAUGAUUAAUAGGGACAGUUGGGGGUAUUCGUAUUUCGUUGUCAGAGGUGAAAUUCUUAGAUUUGUUGAAGACGAACAAAUGCGAAAGCAUUUGCCAAGGAUGUUUUCAUUAA
rnacentral:rRNA from 1 species